AGUCCGGGUCAUCUCAUGCAGGUGGUCCUUGGGGCCCCUCUGUCCCUCCCCAUGCCCUGUCUCCAACAGCCAGCAACCAAAUCCUUGCCUAACAUCCUCCCAGCAGGGCUGAGUUCCCCCGGAGCUGCAGGUUAGGGCCUUAAAUCAACUACUAUGGGCCUAUGGGCCGCAGCCGAGCCUCCCUGUGUGACUAGGCCACCACUCCGUUAGACACGAGCAUCAAUUGCCGGACACGUUGCUGCAUUCAUCUGCGACCUCAGCGGGGAACCCCCACGCAGCUCUGCAUGACCCGCAGCCGCUAUGCCUCUAUGUCCCGAGGGCACGUCCUGUCUCACCAUCCACAGCCCCGCAUGGAAACAUCUGAAAAUCCUGCUUGCAGCUAUGAGUGCCGGCCCCACCCCCUGCCGGGAACCCCGGGGGCCCUCCAGAGACCCCUCCCUCUCGGCCUAUUCGGGGGACAGCACAGGGUCUCAAGGGGACUUUGCUCUCAAGGCAAACAACUACUUCUCCAAUUUAAAUGAGACCUGUGCACUAGAAGAAAAUGAUUGGUAAUACAUGUAAGCCUGCAGACGUUGGAGGGAAUAUCAAAGAGAUUUCAAGCAGCACUUUCUUGAACAAAAAUUUAUACAGCCAUGCUAUUUUAAUUCUUUAGAAAUCUUGCUUUGUAAAUGUCAUGGGAGGGUGCAGGGCUGCAAAGAGAGCUGAGGCACAAGCAUUUCCGGCAGGAGAGUGACCGGCAUGGAGCCUCCCGGCUUCUCAUUAGCCUCGGGUUCCACUCAGGUUUCUCGCAGUGCCUUUCAGAGGGAGCGCGGGUGCCCCGCAGCCCGCAGAGCUCCAAGUCUCAGUCCUGCUCUGCAGGGCAGCAGGGGUCUAAAUGUCACACCACGCACUGUGCCACUGUUGGGGCCCGGCGUGUGCGGGGCAGACGGGUUUCAGUCUGCUGCUGGGCUGUUGCAGCCCGGGCCCUGGGUUCGAUCCUUUGGACCCCAAAAUGAUAACAGCAAUAAUAACUGUCAGCGUGAAGGGCAGACAGAAGCCACGGUAAUCAUGAGGAUGCUGCCGACACAGGGGUCUGAGCCCAAGCCCCUGCCCUCCCAGCUUGGCCAAGCACUGUCCCUGCGACCUGGCAGAGGAUCUCUCUCUGAGCCGCCUGAGGCCAGGCUCCUGGUCCACCGUCAGAUGGGCAGCAGGCAGAGGAGCAGCUCAGCACCAGCUGGUCCGGCUGGCCGGCCACCCCCCACCGGAGCCCAACAUGUCAUCACCCUGCCCCAGAGUGGGGUCCCCAGGCCACAGAAAGGCUCAGCAGAGGACCCAGAAAAACCCCGACAGAGUCGGAAAUAAACAGCUCUGAGCUGAGUGCUUGUCUUUGCAAAGAACCAGCCCUUUGCCAGCCUUGUAGGUAUAGGAUUCUGCACACUUGCUUUGGUGGAUCUCACAUGAGGGACUGUGUGCAGGAUUUAAAUGUGUGCAGGGCCCUCGUCCCAGCCGUAGUCUUCAAGAGAAAGAACACAGAUCCGGGCCUUGCCAAGACUCUGUGACAACUGUGGGAAAGCUUCGACUACAGACGGUGUGUCAGGAAUUCAAUACAGUUUAUUUUAUGAAAUUUAAAACAGGAGCCAGGUAUGGUGGCAUGCACCUAUAAUCUCAGCUACUCUGGAGGCUGAAGCAGGAGGAUUGCAAAUUUGAGGCCAGCCUGGGCAAUUUAACGAGACACUUUCUCAAAAACAAAUUAAAAAAAGAUCUGGCUGCAGCUCAGUGGUGGCGCACUGGCCCAGCACGUGUGAGGCCCAAGUUCAAGGCCCGGUACAGGGGAAGGGGUGCUGGUCCUCUUGUUUUGUAAUUUAGUCAUUAUUUCCUGCUUUUCCCUUUAAUCACUCCUCUGUCUCUGCUUUAUUUUGUGGGCAUUCUACUUGCCAAUGUUGAAUGUUUGGAUUAAUAUGUGUUUAAUACUUUCUGUAAGAGAACCUAAAGCUAUAUAUUUUACUGAGCGUAGCUUUCCCCAAAUCUUAGGUAUUGGCACACAGCAGGAGUCAGGACUCGAUGGCAGCCGCCAUCUGCUCCUGUAAAUGAAGUUUUAUGGGCUCGUGGCCACACCCGCUCAUUUGCAUAUUACCCACAGCUGCUGUGGGCACCACAGUGAAGUUCAAUGGUUGCCACAGAAACCAGAGAGCUUGAGAAGCUGAUCACAUUCACCAGAGUUCCUUUGCAGGGAAGGGGCUGCUGGCCCUUAGUACAUAACAGGGUCCUGUUGUUCUCGAUCUCCUAAUAACUCAAUGGUUUUGGACCUGCCCUGGCAAGGGGGACCUGCAGGGGACCACUCGAGGAGGUGGAGUCUUCAGGGACCCUCAGGUGCCAGGGUUUAGAGUUCUGCCUGCCCCUUACUUCCCAGCACCAGAGCUGCCUAUGCUGAGAAAGCUAACAUCCGAGGAGGCACAGCUGGACGCGAGACACGCCACACUGCGCAGGGCGUUUGGGACGGAGAGUUUAUUUAGCCAUACCACGAUGAGUCCCGAGGCGCCAGAUUGUUUCCUACCUUCCCUCCACUACACUGUUCCUCCUCCUGGGACCGAGACAGGCCACGCUGAUGGAGAGCACGUGUCCGAGCUCAGGCGGAGCUGGGCGGUCUGGUAAGGUCAGCACUGGCCGAGGUGGGCGGGCAGAGCAGGGCCGCUGAGUCGGAGGCCUCGCCCAGUUCCUAGGGGCCGCCUGAGUGGGGAGCUGUCCCGGCUCCUGGUGCUGAAACCACCCUGUCCCGGCCUGACUUCUGGACAUAAGGACACUCGUUUUAUUCUCUCCAUUUGUGCCUUUGCCAUCGAUGCGAAUGCUCUGAGUUUGGAGAAAAUGUAGCCAUUUGAGCCAGGAAAAGGCAGUCACUAGGCAACAUUCUGAAAACAGGAGACCAGUGGGAUCACGUUUCACCGAGUAAAUUGACGAAAGGUCAAAAAGCUUGAUCUUGGCCACGAUGUGCCUGGUCUGAAAGCUAAACUGCCGCUGAGAUAUUUAUGGGAGAACCUGCAGCCGCAGCCCGCGGUCGCCCGAGGUCCCCGGGGAAGCAGGCCCAAGGCCCCUUAUGAGAAGUGCCCGGCUCCUCCCCUUCCGGGCGAGGCUCUGGCAGGGAGAGGUGCACUCGGCCCAGGGAGGGUCCACACAUGGUGGGUGGCCUCUCAGCCCUGUGUGUGUCUCCUGCCACCCCACGUGGCCCAGCCUCACCCUGCACCCCCAGCAGUGUGCUGCGAGGCCUGGGGAGCCCCGGCUGGCCCACAGAAUCCCCCACGAGCCACGUGUCCAGCCUCACACUGUCCAGGGGCCACCUCAUGGAGGUCAAAAGUGACAGAAUUAAUUUAACUGGAUGUAUCUGAAUGAUCAGCACUGCAAUGAGACCGACAUAAAACAAUCAGCGCUUUUGACCUGCUCUUCAGAAAGCAGUGCACAUGGAACAACCAUGCUUCUGGGCAGUGGGGCUGGGAGGGGGGAUGGACGGCACUGACAGAGCAGGAGACCCCAGCCUCGGCUGCCGGGAGGCGAACACAGCCCCCAGCUUUGCUUCCGCCCUCAACCUCAUGGUGACCUCACACUCAGGGACAAGGUGACCGACAUGCGGCCAAUGGAGCCCAGGGGUGGAGCUUCCUGGGAUGAGGAGCCCAUGUACUGGGCACAGAGGGAGACGGGAGCCCUGGGGCGGGCAUACACGGGGCGCAGUGGUGAGUCCCGCGGCUCUGGACCGGAAGGCGACCCAGACUCCGCGGCUCCACCCCCAGGCCGACACAGGAAGUGGCCAGGCUCUCACCCAGCAUGUCCACCAGUCCGCAGGAGGGCCAGCCCCGCGCGCUCCGCUGUCCCACAGCUGGAGAGGCCCCACUCACCUGCAUCUCUGACCAGCACCAAGGCUGAGGUGCCAAGUGCAAGGGCGAAUCCACGCAUGACUCAACAGCACAGCCCGUGGGCUCCUCCCGAGGUCAAGGGGAGACUUGCACUCAGGUUCCCUGGCCACCGCUCCCUGGCAGCCUCCACUGUGGGGAGCCACGCGGACCUUGGACCUCUGCAGUCCCCUCUCGGCACGAGCCAGCCUCAU